AAGACAAAAAGUAAGACACUAGUUUAAAGCAACUGCCACACUUAUUUUGUAGGAGAAAAACAUACAUUAAAAUGAAGCCCUGAGUUGGGGGAGAUGCCUCCGUGGGUAAGUUCAGAUCUCCUGACUCCACAUCAAGAGAGAUGUGGUAGUGCACAACUACAAAUUCAGUGCUCCUCCAGUGAGAGGCCGAGACAGAAACCUCUCCAGGAGCUAUGGGGGUAGCAGCUGGGCUGCUACACUACAGCAAAGGAGAUCCUGCCUCAAGAAGGACCAAGAUCCAAGGCUGUCCUGUGACCUCCACACACCGAGGUAUGCAACCUACAAAAACAAAGGCAGUACUGUGGACUCACCCGACUUCUGUUAAUUCUUCUGUACCCUCUUCCCUCUCCCAAUUAGUGCCCUUCCACGGCCAGCCCUUCGUUGUUAUCUCAAACAAUAAUCCACACAGAGAAGUGCUUUGAACUGCUAAACAGCUAUUUUAAGUGCUUGGCUACAAUUCUGAGCAGGUUAAGUUAGAAACCGAGCAAACUAUCCCCAUCAGUGCAUUUUCUUCUACAAGGUGACAGGUAACUCAGGCACCUCAAAUACGGGCUCUCUGAAAACCCUUGCGACUCAAAAGGCAAUUUAAAAGUCUGUUUAGACCACUAACUUUUAAAUGUGAGGGAACUAGUGUUACCUAAUUCAGCUUCUUUAUAGAGAAACUUGAUUGUAGCAAAGUUAGUUUUCUAGGAAUUUAUAUAGCAACAAUAAUUUAAAUUAAGUCUGACCCAAAACAAUGCUAAAUUUGCUGCCCAUUAUGCAAUUUUUAAAAUUAAUUAACUAAUCUGUUUGUUUAGGUUUUUGCUUUGUUUUGUUUUUGAGACAGGCUCUCACUAUGUAGCUCUGGCUGUCCCAGGGCUCACUGUGUAGACCAGACUGACCUCAAAUUCACAGAGAUCCACCUGCCUCUGCCUCCCAAAUUCCGAGAUUAAAGGUGUUUAACUCCAUGCUCAGAAACUUAAUCUCUUGAAGCAGAUGUUGCUAUUUUCAAAGAAGAUGGGCUCAGAUGAAAUUACCCCUUUUUUUAACCUAUGCAGCAAAAUCAAGGAUUAGAAGUUGGUUCUUCCUGGGUCUGGAAUCCUAUUUUAGUAGUUCAGAAUGGCGCAGAGCACAUCCCAAGGAUUCCCCUUCAACUCCCAGCACACAAGUCAGUCAGUCUGUCUCCUCUCUCUCUCUCUCUCUCUCUCUCUUUUUCUCUCUUUCUCUCACACAUACACACACACACACACACACACAAUUAAGUUUAAGGGAAAAAAGCCUAGAGUUGGUUCCUUUUUGCAGUUUAUGUUACUGAAAAGCAAGUUCCAAAAAUUAACUUGUUUUUCGAGACAGGGUUUCUCUGUGUAGCUCUCUGGCUGUCCUGGACUCGCUUAGUAGAUAAGGGCAGCUUCAAAUUCAGAGAUCUUCCUUCCUACCUCUACCUCCGGGGUGCUGGGAUAAAGGGUGUUCGCCACCACUGCCUAGCCCAAAAAUUAACUUUUAAGGGCAAGAAUACCUAUGUUAACUGCACAAACAAGUGGGUUUACAUUUACUUACAACAAACUCCAAACUCAAGAGACAGUAAUUCUAAACUCAUUACCAAGUCCUCAAGGCAGCUAGAACACAGCAGUGGCAAUGAACAGUUCAAGGAUACACUUUUUACGUUAAAAACAAAAAAAUUACAAUGACUGCAGAAUAACCACUUAAUGUUCUGGGAAUUUUCACGAAUUUGCACAAUUAAAGCCAUUUAAGAAUAAAACUACGUUAACAUGGAUCACUACAAUGAACAACCCAACUUCAGCCGGUAAAAUAUGUAAUCUGAAAGUACUAUCUCUGCGGAAAAUGUCAUAAAUACGCUGUUCUGGAAUGCAUGUGGAGCCUAGCAACCACUUUUAAAGUUUCAUUUGCCCUUCUCUCUCUCUCUUGACUUUCAAGACCUAAAUAUCUUUAUGAAUCAGACUAUUUAGUCAAGCUCUUUCCCACUGACCAAAUCUUUUGAGUGGUACCUUCAUUAUUAACUACAUGAACAACCCAGUUGUUUUUUUUUUUUUUAAAAAAAAGGGAAAAAAAGGGAAGAAAACCACCACCCACCGGAAUUUGGCAUUAAAAAAGUUAAUUGUGGGGGGGGGGGAGAAAGAGAGGGAGAGAAAGGAAGAGGGGAGGAGACGGGAAUGAGGGAGGGAGAAAGUGGGAGUGUACUUUUGGGCCUUAGUCUUCGUAAUUCACUUACAAGGUAAAAUGUCAUAACCAUUUAGAAGUUAGCAGGACAUACAAACAAAAGGGCAUAAACGAACUUAGUAUUUUACUUCCUCCUUCGCUCCAUCCCUACCGCCGAAUGAUCAUGUCCUGUCCUAUACAGGCUCCCGGUUUCCAAGGCUAGAAAAAGAGUGGGCGGUUUAUGAAGAGCAGGCCUGCUCUGCCGGCUGAGAUGUUCAAGAUCAAGACACUGCUGUCUAGAAGGCUGGUUGUUGAGUGACCACUUCCUCCAAGAUUAAGACAAUCCAUCCUGCAGGAAGGCCAGCAACUCAAAAUAGCUUCAGGAGCCCCUGAAACUAACCAGAUUCAUUAGGCCCCUUCCUGUCAGAGUAAACUAUUAGAGCUGACAUCCCCCUCAGACCACAGGAGACCUGCAAGGUAAAGAAGACUCUGAGAGCAGGCCAGCUACCUGGAAGCAGCAGAAACCAGCCAUUCUGCCUGGAAGAGGUUUGGACCAACUGAGACACCCUGGAGGGACGUUGAGCUGCCUGCAGGCUGUGCAGUGUGCUCCACGUUCUCAACUUUGUGAGCUGUUACUAAUGCUGGGGUGGGCCUUGGUGAUGAAGCUGUCUUUGAGUCAUCUCUGCUCCUGGAAGUAAUGUCAAUAAAAUUUAGCGUUUGCCAACUUGGA